AUACUUACCUGGUAGGGGAGAUACCAUGAUUAUGAAGGUGGUUUUCCCAGGACAAAGCUUAUCCAUUGCACUCUAGAUGUGCUGACCCCUGUGAUUUCCCCCAAUGUGGGAAACUCAACUGCAUAAUUUGUGGUAGUGGGGGACUGUGUUAGCACUCUCCCUGA
rnacentral:snRNA from 1 species